rnacentral:rRNA from 1 species
CAUGCAAGUCGAACGAGAGAGAGGGAGCUUGCUUCCUCGAUCGAGUGGCGAACGGGUGAGUAACGCGUGAGGAACCUGCCUCAAAGAGGGGGACAACAGUUGGAAACGACUGCUAAUACCGCAUAAGCCCACGGCUCGGCAUCGAGCAGAGGGAAAAGGAGCAAUCCGCUUUGAGAUGGCCUCGCGUCCGAUUAGCUAGUUGGUGAGGUAACGGCCCACCAAGGCGACGAUCGGUAGCCGGACUGAGAGGUUGAACGGCCACAUUGGGACUGAGACACGGCCCAGACUCCUACGGGAGGCAGCAGUGGGGAAUAUCGCACAAUGGGGGAAACCCUGAUGCAGCGACGCCGCGUGGAGGAAGAAGGUCUUCGGAUUGUAAACUCCUGUUGUUGAGGAAGAUAAUGACGGUACUCAACAAGGAAGUGACGGCUAACUACGUGCCAGCAGCCGCGGUAAAACGUAGGUCACAAGCGUUGUCCGGAAUUACUGGGUGUAAAGGGAGCGCAGGCGGGCGAUCAAGUUGGAAGUGAAAUCCAUGGGCUCAACCCAUGAACUGCUUUCAAAACUGAUUGUCUUGAGUAGUGCAGAGGUAGGCGGAAUUCCCGGUGUAGCGGUGGAAUGCGUAGAUAUCGGGAGGAACACCAGUGGCGAAGGCGGCCUACUGGGCACCAACUGACGCUGAGGCUCGAAAGUGUGGGUAGCAAACAGGAUUAGAUACCCUGGUAGUCCACACCGUAAACGAUGAUUACUAGGUGUUGGAGGAUUGACCCCUUCAGUGCCGCAGUUAACACAAUAAGUAAUCCACCUGGGGAGUACGACCGCA